ACGAACGCUGGCGGCAGGCUUAACACAUGCAAGUCGAGCGCCUCAGCAAUGAGGAGCGGCAGACGGGUGAGUAACGCGUGGGAAUCUACCCAUCUCUACGGAACAACUCCGGGAAACUGGAGCUAAUACCGUAUACGUCCUUCGGGAGAAAGAUUUAUCGGAGAUGGAAGAGCCCGCGUUGGAUUAGCUAGUUGGUGGGGUAAAGGCCUACCAAGGCGACGAUCCAUAGCUGGUCUGAGAGGAUGAUCAGCCACACUGGGACUGAGACACGGCCCAGCCUCCUACGGGAGGCAGCAGUGGGGAAUAUUGGACAAUGGGCGCAAGCCUGAUCCAGCCAUGCCGCGUGAGUGAUGAAGGCCCUAGGGUUGUAAAGCUCUUUCACCGGUGAAGAUAAUGACGGUACCCGGAGAAGAAGCCCCGGCUAACUUCGU
rnacentral:rRNA from 1 species